CUGGUCUUGCCUCGGACUUGAGGCUCACCAUUAUUUUUUUUUUUUAAAGCAGGAUUUCUGGCAGUUAGAUGAAAGCCAGUGUCCCUCUGGCAGAAGGAACACAUGGACCCAUUAACAUACAACUGCCUGAGCUGCUCCAGGCUCCCUCAGUCCCUAGUCACAAGUACCUGUACAUUUCAAAGCCCCUACCUGGGGUUUCCUGGCCCUUACCACCAACCAGCUACAGCUACCCUCCCUAGUCCUCCUCCCUCUCAGGAUGCUCCAUUCUCCAUCUCUCCCUAUCUCCCCAUCUCCACCAUUCUCUCCUGCUCUCCUGUUUCCCUAGCCCCAGCCACAUCCACUCUGCUGGCCCUGUUCUGUCUGCUUCUUCCUCUCUCUGCUCUGGACCCUGCCAAAUGCUCCUGGCUGUUCUCUCUCUCCUUAACCGUCGCUGCUCAGUCCUGCCGGCAGGACCCUGCGUUGCUGCGAUUGGAGACAGACACUACUGCACCUGAUGUUCUUCGGUGCUGUGGACAGAACCCGGGCAACCGACUCACAGCAUCCCCUGGCCGGACGCUCUACUGUGGUGGACUACAGAGGGAGACCACGUCCUUCCAUCGUGGUAGCAAAAGGACAGACGCCCCAACCAACUGACAGAAAGCUCUGUCAGCCGGAACUGCAGGAAGUGCCUCAGGGAUGGAUUUAAGGACUGAAGAGGAGACCAGACCCAUUGGCACUGGUCUCCCCACAGAGAGAAGCCACCAUCAGCCUUGGGAUAAAUUCCCCAGCAGCUCCCCUUAGAAUAGCCCCCUGGGACCAGGUCUGGGGAGAUGGCUCAGUGCUCAAAGAGCUUGCCAUUCUCAGGGGAAAUCUGAGGAACCGGAUCAUCGCCACACAUCAAAACAUGGUAGUAGGCUAAUUUAUCACAGGGAAGCCUGAACAGGCAUAGCCCGGGAUGGAGACAGUAGGAUGGGAAAUUGAGAGAUGAACACGCCAGGCUGCAGCCUGUAGAUUGGCCCUUUCCUGGAGGAAGAAGAAAUCCGAAGACCGUCAGCCAGAAAUCUCGGCAUCAGAGUGUCCGUUUGCCUCUGAGUGUCCCUUAAACAGAUCCCUGGUGUGUGGCCGCUCCUGCCACCCGUGGGAGCCCAAAGCAGCUGGAAACCGAGGCCCAGGGUCACACAGGUAGACACUGCAGAGAGUGACAUCGGCUGCUGCCAGAAUCCUCCGGGUGGGAAGACGCUACGUGAGAAUUGUACCAACUGGCUCUGUAGUCAGCUCCUUGUCUCUCUCACCGGGGAUCUCCUGCCCUCGGCUCGGGUCAGACCUGCUGUCAAAGUCCUUUCUCUCACUCCGUGGCUGAUAAGACCUGAGUCGCCCUGACUGUCCUGGAACUUGCAUUAUAUACCAGGCCGGCCUUGAACUCACAAAGAUACGCCUGCUUCUGCUUCCCCGAGUGCUGGGACUACAGGCCAACUUAAAAUAUCUCUGAAGGCCUGGAGAGAUGGCUCAGCAAUUAAGAGCACUCGCUGCUCCUGUGAAGGACCGGAGUUCAGUUCCCAGCACCCACUGCCCGGGACUCCAACUCCCAGCAAUCCGAAGCUUUCUUCCAGCUUCCGCUUCCUGGGGCACUUGUCCUCGUGUGGGUGCACGCCCACGAAUAAAUAAUGAAUGAAA